rnacentral:rRNA from 1 species
CGAGCGAGUCUGCCUUGAAGAUCGGAGUGCUUGCACUCUGUGAAACAAGAUACAGGCUAGCGGCGGACGGGUGAGUAACACGUGGGUAACCUGCCCAAGAGAUCGGGAUAACACCUGGAAACAGAUGCUAAUACCGGAUAACAACAGAUGAUGCCUAUCAACUGUUUAAAAGAUGGUUCUGCUAUCACUCUUGGAUGGACCUGCGGUGCAUUAGCUAGUUGGUAGGGUAACGGCCUACCAAGGCGAUGAUGCAUAGCCGAGUUGAGAGACUGAUCGGCCACAUUGGGACUGAGACACGGCCCAAACUCCUACGGGAGGCAGCAGUAGGGAAUCUUCCACAAUGGACGCAAGUCUGAUGGAGCAACGCCGCGUGAGUGAAGAAGGGUUUCGGCUCGUAAAGCUCUGUUGUUGGUGAAGAAGGACAGGGGUAGUAACUGACCUUUGUUUGACGGUAAUCAAUUAGAAAGUCACGGCUAACUACGUGCCAGCAGCCGCGGUAAUACGUAGGUGGCAAGCGUUGUCCGGAUUUAUUGGGCGUAAAGCGAGUGCAGGCGGCUCGAUAAGUCUGAUGUGAAAGCCUUCGGCUCAACCGGAGAAUUGCAUCAGAAACUGUCGAGCUUGAGUACAGAAGAGGAGAGUGGAACUCCAUGUGUAGCGGUGAAAUGCGUAGAUAUAUGGAAGAACACCGGUGGCGAAGGCGGCUCUCUGGUCUGUUACUGACGCUGAGGCUCGAAAGCAUGGGUAGCGAACAGGAUUAGAUACCCUGGUAGUCCAUGCCGGUAACGAUGAGUGCUAAGUGUUGGGAGGUUUCCGCCUCUCAGUGCUGCAGCUAACGCAUU